rnacentral:lncRNA from 10 species
UAGGCACCUGCUUCCCUCCACACAGCCCCUCUGCCAUCUACCCGUGAGUCCCACCUUCCCAGCAUUUCCUGAAUUCGUUCCAUCUUUCCUUUCCCCAUGAUGACUUACUGCUCAUCACCCUGAGACCCCAGUCUCGCCUCCAUCAGACCAACCUCAACGCGGCUUCCAGAGGGGUUGCUCUGAAAUCCAGAUCAAACCCUGUCACCCUUCUGAUUGAAGCCUCCAUGGCUCCCAAAAUUUUCAACGUGAUUUAUCAAGACCUUGAGAAUCUGACCCAUCCCUACAUCCUCCACGUAUCAGUUAGCAUGGGGUAAGCAUUUAACAUGUGCACAAACCAGGCAGUGACUCCCUCCGUCCUCACAGCUCCUCUCUGAGGUGGCGGGUGACAGUCUGGGUUAUUAUUAUUCAGCAAAUACUCACACUCCUCCCGUAUAGACUCCCCUGCUCAUUGAUGUUGGACUUGACCACCUGACGUGUUUUGGCCCUGGGGCUGUUGGAGGAUGGAACUAGCAGAAGCACUCCAUGCGCCCACAUGGCCUGGCUCCUUCUUUCCACUCCAGAAGUCCAGGGUAAGAAGAGCUUCCUCCAGAGAGCCUCUGCUGUGCCCCAGGACAAACUUGGUGCAACCACCUGAACUUGCGUCAAACCCAGGCUACCUACAGCCUAAGGCAGGGCCGUCCAGCCACACCUAUCCUGGAUCAGCCAAAUUAUAGCCAUCUGA